AUGCUAAUACAGUUAUCAUUAUCAUUAUCUCUAAAGUUAUUGUUCUUAGUGUGAACAGGUCUUAACACUAUAUGAUGACUACAUGUAUUUUUGUUUGUCCUUUAUGAAAUGUCAGCAACAUUAUGUGGGGGUGCCCAACGACUUGAGAUAUUAACAUUAUGCAAAUGAGCAGUGAUGCAGUUCGGUGACUACCAAUAGAAUUGCAGACGCUGGAGCUGAUGUGAUCCCUCUCCUGUGAGAUAUUGCAUUCGAGCAUCAGCCAGAUGGAGAAGUUCAUGUUGCUGUUUUCAAAAGCUUUGGCCAGUUGCUCAUCCAGUGGCAGGAACACCUACAGCCCAGCGACCUGCAGCUUCCAGCAAUAAAACUGCUGUCAUAGAGAACGCUGCUUAAAUUUGUGUCACAGAAAACGGAAGACCUCUCCAACAUUGUGUUGUUACUCAGAAGGCAAUGCCUCACCAUCAAACUGUCUCGUCACCUCAUCUCCUCCUGGAAUGGCUUACCUUCUGACACAAAGCACCAUCAGGGCAGAGCAUGAAUGACUCUGGAGCGCUGAAAGAAAGCCAAUGACACCCUGUCCUCAAAACAAAGGACGUGAUUUCAGCGGUUGCAUCAUGUUGGUUGAAUCUCCUACUCUUGAUGAGGCCUGAGAUCAUUAUCUGAAGCAGAUUCAGGCCGGCUCUUAGAGAAAUGCCCUGCAGCUUUUUUUGUAUUACGAUCUAAAGAGGCCCACAAUGUGCACUGACUUUUGCCAGCUAUUGGAGUUCAGAUAUGCUCCAAGCUUUUAACAACCUCUACCGUCGACCCCCGCAUGAACGCCACUGCUCAGUUUGCUGCGUAAAUGUGUCUCACCUAACGAACAGUGUGCCGUUUUGUGUUAAUGAAGAUGGCCUCUCUUCCGCUGGGUGGAGCGUGAAUGAUCUGCAGCACGUUCUUGCUGACUGAUAAUGGAAUUGAUUGUGACAGCAUUUCUUCUGUCAGGAUAAUUACAAGGCUCGGUGCGCAGUGACUGUAUGUUGCUCAGAGGUCUGGCCAAUACUCACUCGCCAAUGAGCCUCAUGCUUUCAAAAUACACUGAAUGUGAUAGUAUUGGGACAGUAGAAAAUGCUCUGAUGCAAACUGGGGUCUUCUGCACCAAAUCAGCAUAUUAGAAUGAUGUCUAAAGAAUCAUGUAACACUAAAACUUCACGGCUGCUGAAAAUUCAGCUUUACCAUCACAGGAAUAAAUGACAUUUUAAAAUAGAAAAUAGUUGUUUUAAUUGUAAUAAUGCUUCACAAUAUUAAUGCUUUUACUGUGGAUUAUUGUGAUGUUUUUAUACACACUUUGGACUCUGAUGGCACCAAUUCACUGCAUUGUUGAGCAAGUGAUGUAAUGCUAUGAUCUGAUGAAGAAACAAACUCAUCUACAUCUAGGAUGGCAUGAGGGAGAGUAAAUUUUCAUUUCUCACUGAUCUGACAGUUAUUGAUCCUUUGAAUCGACGCUGGAAAGGAGAGAUCCCUUGUUGGGCUUGUUUGUAGCUCCAGUCUCUUUCUCAUUCCCUGUGGAGGUUCUGCCUUCCCACAAACACCCCGUACUCUUCCACAGUGUCUAGACUGUCAUUAUAGUGUUCAUCCUGUCAGGGUGUCAGAGGGAAUAAGCCACUCACAGGUUUUCAUGACAGAUGAAACCGUUCUUGCAGCUUGCUUGGAGUGAAACAAACUUCAAGUCAAGAACAGACAAAUAACAUUGACAGGAAGUUGCUGGAAAAGUUUCUUGUUGAAAGACAAUUAUGAACAACCCUCUUUUUUAUGAUGUUAACAUAACAGGUUGUAUCUUUAAAGAAAUAACUGUUAACAUUGGUCUGGGUAGUUAAGCCACAUGGCAGUGUUUGGAAUGUAAUGCUAACAUUAUAAUAUAUAUAUUAUAUAUAUAUAAUUUUUAUAUUUAUAGAAUGUAGUAUGAUUUAUAAAGUGAAUAAUGUACUAGUUUAACUGCAGCAACU